rnacentral:tRNA from 1 species
GGGCAGAUACCCAAGCGGUCAACGGGGACAGACUGUAAAUCUGUUGCGGAAUCGCUUCGGGGGUUCGAAUCCUCCUCUGCCCA